UUACUUACCUGGACGGGGUCUAUGGCCGAUCAAGAAGUGUCAUGGCCUAAGCUAGCGGUCCACAUUGCACUUAGUGGAUGCGCUGGCUUACCAUCUCCCCUUUGCGGGAGAGUGGACGUCAUAAUUUGUAGUAGAGGGGGUACGCGUUCGCGCGGCCCCUA